AUUGGAAGUAAAAGUCGUAACAAGGUUUCCGUAGGUGAACCUGCGGAAGGAUCAUCAUUGAAUGAACUUGACUUGGUUGCUGCUGGUCUUUUCAAAGGCAUGUGCACACCUUGUCAUCUUUAUAUCUCCACCUGUGCACCUUUUGUAGACCUGGAUUCAACAUUCCGAGGCAACUCGGUCGUGAGGAAUUGCUUCACAGCUUUCCUUGUAAGUUUCCAGGCCUAUGUUUUUCAUAUACACCAUAAGAAUGUAACAGAAUGUCAUUAUUAGACUUCAUUGUCUUAUAAACUAUAUACAACUUUCAGCAACGGAUCUCUUGGCUCUCGCAUCGAUGAAGAACGCAGCGAAAUGCGAUAAGUAAUGUGAAUUGCAGAAUUCAGUGAAUCAUCGAAUCUUUGAACGCACCUUGCGCUCCUUGGUAUUCCGAGGGGCAUGCCUGUUUGAGUGUCAUUAAAUUCUCAACCUUUGUCAACUUUUUUGGUUGACCAAUGGCUUGGAUGUGGGGGUUUUGCAGGUUUCUCUUUUGAAAUCAGCUCCCCUGAAAUGUAUUAGCUGGUUGCGUUGUGUAGACCUGUCUAUUGGUGCGAUAAUUAUCUACGCCGUGGACUGUUUGCCAUUUUAGCACUGCUUCUAACUGUCUGUUCAUUCAGACGAUAUAUGACAAUUUGACCUCAAAUCAGUAG
rnacentral:rRNA from 1 species